rnacentral:siRNA from 1 species
ACCAAUUGACGAAAAAUGUGUGG